CUACCGAUUGAAUGGCUCAGUGAGGCGUCCGGACUGGCCCAGAGAGGUGGGCAACUACCACUCAGGGCCGGAAAGCUCUCCAAACUCGGUCAUUUAGAGGAAGUAAAAGUCGUAACAAGGUCUCCGUUGGUGAACCAGCGGAGGGAUCAUUACCGAGUUAUACAACUCAUCAACCCUGUGAACAUACCUAAAACGUUGCUUCGGCGGGAACAGACGGCCCUGUAACAACGGGCCGCCCCCGCCAGAGGACCCCUAACUCUGUUUUUAUAAUGUUUUUCUGAGUAAACAAGCAAAUAAAUUAAAACUUUCAACAACGGAUCUCUUGGCUCUGGCAUCGAUGAAGAACGCAGCGAAAUGCGAUAAGUAAUGUGAAUUGCAGAAUUCAGUGAAUCAUCGAAUCUUUGAACGCACAUUGCGCCCGCCAGUAUUCUGGCGGGCAUGCCUGUUCGAGCGUCAUUACAACCCUCAGGCCCCCGGGCCUGGCGUUGGGGAUCGGCGGAAGCCCCCUGUGGGCACACGCCGUCCCUCAAAUACAGUGGCGGUCCCGCCGCAGCUUCCAUUGCGUAGUAGCUAACACCUCGCAACUGGAGAGCGGCGCGGCCAUGCCGUAAAACACCCAACUUCUGAAUGUUGACCUCGAAUCAGGUAGGAAUACCCGCUGAACUUAAGCAUAUCA
rnacentral:rRNA from 1 species